rnacentral:rRNA from 1 species
GACGAACGCUGGCGGCGUGCCUAAUACAUGCAAGUAGAACGCACAGUUUAUACUGUAGCUUGCUACACCAUAAACUGUGAGUUGCGAACGGGUGAGUAACGCGUAGGUAACCUGCCUGGUAGCGGGGGACAACUAUUGGAAACGAUAGCUAAUACCGCAUAAUAUUAAUUAUUGCAUGAUAAUUGAUUGAAAGAUGCAAUUGAAUCACUACCAGAUGGACCUUCGUUGUAUUAGCUAGUAGGUGAGGUAACGGCUCACCUAGGCGACGAUACAUAGCCGACCUGAGAGGGUGGUCGGCCACACUGGGACUGAGACACGGCCCAGACUCCUACGGGAGGCAGCAGUAGGGAAUCUUCGGCAAUGGACGAAAGUCUGACCGAGCAACGCCGCGUGAGUGAAGAAGGUUUUCGGAUCGUAAAGCUCUGUUGUAAGAGAAGAACGGGUGUGAGAGUGGAAAGUUCACACUGUGACGGUAUCUUACUAGAAAGGGACGGCUAACUACGUG